rnacentral:rRNA from 1 species
GAUGAACGCUGGCGGCGUGCCUAAUACAUGCAAGUCGAGCGAACAGAUGAGGCGCUUGCUCCUCUGACGUUAGCGGCGGACGGGUGAGUAACACGUGGAUAACCUACCUAUAAGACUGGGAUCACUUCGGGAAACCGGAGCUAAUACCGGAUAAUAUCUUGAACCGCAUGGUUCAAUAGUGAAAGACGGUUUUGCUGUCACUUAUCGAUGGAUCUGCGCCGCAUUGGCUAGUAGGUAAGGUAACGGCUUACCACGGCAAGGAUGCGUAGCCGACGUCAUAGGGUGAUCGGCCGCACUGGAGCGGGGACAGGGUCCAUGCUCCUACGGGAGGCAGCAGUAGGGAAUCGGCCGCAAUGGGCGAAAGCCUGACGGAGCAACGCCGCGUGAGUGAUGAAGGUCUCCGGAGCGUAAUACUCGGUUAUUAGGGAAGAACAAAUGUGUAAGUAACUAUGCACGGCUUGACGGUACCUAAUCAGAAAGCCACGGCUAACUACGUG